AGCACUUUUACCUAUUUUUUUUUAGCAACAUAGUCACUUUUAUUGACUUAAUAAAAGUCAGUACUUUUUUUGUUUCAGGGCUUAAAGUGUAAUAUGUUUCUAAACAAAUUUGCUAAUUUUCAUUAUUGAUGGUCUGAGAUGUUUGCCCCUAGAAGGAUGUUAGCGAAGGAGGUUUAUCUUAUCAAAUUGUAUGAGUUAGCUACUGCAACACAGUACAGCACCCCAAAAUAUAGUUGCUGAAAGCAGUAACCAUAAUUCUGUGGGUGAACUAUUUGGCUUGGCCUCAGCUGGGCAGUUUUUGUGGUCUGUGCCAGGCUGUGCUGACCACAGCUGGCCUCUCCCGGUGCGGCCUCGGUCAGCUGCCAGGAUGAUGAGGAGUGAGUGAGUUAGUCUAGGAUGGUCUCUUUGGGAAGGGCUUACAUCUGCUCCAUAUGGUGUCUUCUUCCCACAGGCUGGCACAGCCUUGUUCACCUUGGGAUUCAUCAGGGUUCCAAGAGAUGGAGCAGAAGCAGGCAAGGCCUCUCAAGGCUUCAGCUCCUAUUUGGCCAGCAACAUCCCUUUCACCACAUUCUAGGUUAAAACAACUCACAAGGCCAGCCCAGAUUGAAGGCAUGGGGAAAGAGACUGCUGCUUGAUGGAAGGAGUUACAGAGGCACAUGACAAAGAGGCAUGUCUGCAAAGGAAGGAAUAAUGGCAGCCAUUAUUACCAGAAAAUCUACAAUACACAGUCUUACACUGCCCAAAAAAUAUGUGAAUAAUCAAUAGAAUCACUUUGUGAGAAUCUGAAAUAUAUCACUCUUCUUAACCUGUCAAACAUUGACAGGUUAUGUUCUUUUUUCCCUGUGGUUAGCAUUUCAGAGGAGCUUUAUUUUCCCCCUACUUGGUUUGCAGCUGAGCAGAUAUAAGAGUAGCUAUAUGUACAGAAACAGCUCCCACAUGCAAUCAACUUAACUCCUACAUGCAAAGUACAGGAUUACACACUUGCAGACAUUCUCGUUUUAUUUUCACAGGUAACCCAUUAGGUAUAUAUUUCCCGAUUUUAUAGUUGAAGACACCGAGACUGCUCUUGUCUAACAUCACAAAGAAUGGGUCUGCCUCCAAAGCUUUUUCUGCUAGGCAGAAUUGCUAAAUUAAAUGUAAAGAGAUUCUAUUGCAAACGGUUUAUAAAGUGAAUCUGUAGUAAUCAUUACCUGAUUUGUUAGUUAUGGUAUGGCAGAGGGUCUCAUUUCUUAGAAGUGACUUCAUGGUUAAACUCUGAUGAAUGAUUCUGUUCUCUUCAC